CAGUGUUACAGCUUUUAGAAUUUCUCUAGCAGGUUUUCCAGUCCUUACCAGAAAACCCCC
ensembl:snRNA U7 U7 small nuclear RNA